rnacentral:rRNA from 1 species
AUUGAACGCUGGCGGCAUGCCUUACACAUGCAAGUCGAACGGCAGCACGGGUGCUUGCACCUGGUGGCGAGUGGCGAACGGGUGAGUAAUAUAUCGGAACGUACCUUAUUGUGGGGGAUAACGCAGCGAAAGCUGUGCUAAUACCGCAUAAUCCCUUAGGGGGAAAGCGGGGGACCGUAAGGCCUCGCGCAAUUAGAGCGGCCGAUACCUGAUUAGCUAGUUGGUGAGGUAAAGGAUCACCAAGGCGACGAUCAGUAGCUGGUCUGAGAGGACGAUCAGCCACACUGGGACUGAGACACGGCGCAGACUCCUACGGGAGGCAGCAGUGGGGAAUUUUGGACAAUGGGGGCAACCCUGAUCCAGCAAUGCCGCGUGAGUGAAGAAGGCCUUCGGGUUGUAAAGCUCUUUUGUCAGGGAAGAAACAGCAGCUCUAACACAGUAUGCGAAUGACGGUACCUGAAGAAUAAGCACCGGUUAACUACGUGCCAGCCGCCGCAGUAA